rnacentral:rRNA from 1 species
UACGUAGGGUGCGAGCGUUAUCCGGAUUUACUGGGCGUAAAGAGUUGCGUAGGCGGCUUGAUAGAUUUUGCUUCAAAUGCUAUGGCUUAACCAUAGAUUCUGGCAAAAUAUCAUCAGACUAGAGUGUUAGAGAGGGUAUUGGAACCGAUUGUGAAGCAGUGAAAUGCGUUGAUAUAAUCGGGAACACCGAAGGCGUAGGCAGAUACCUAGCUAACCACUGACGCUGAGGCACGAAAGCAUGGGUAGCGAAGCAG